rnacentral:rRNA from 1 species
CUUCCGUAGGUGAACCUGCGGAAGGAUCAUUACCGAGUGCGGGCCCUCGCGGCCCAACCUCCCACCCUUGUCUCUAUACACCUGUUGCUUUGGCGGGCCCACCGGGGCCACCUGGUCGCCGGGGGACGUACGUCCCCGGGCCCGCGCCCGCCGAAGCGCGCUGUGAACCCUGAUGAAGAUGGGCUGUCUGAGUACUAUGAAAAUUGUCAAAACUUUCAACAAUGGAUCUCUUGGUUCCGGCAUCGAUGAAGAACGCAGCGAAAUGCGAUAAGUAAUGUGAAUUGCAGAAUUCCGUGAAUCAUCGAAUCUUUGAACGCACAUUGCGCCCCCUGGCAUUCCGGGGGGCAUGCCUGUCCGAGCGUCAUUUCUGCCCUCAAGCACGGCUUGUGUGUUGGGUGUGGUCCCCCCGGGGACCUGCCCGAAAGGCAGCGGCGACGUCCGUCUGGUCCUCGAGCGUAUGGGGCUCUGUCACUCGCUCGGGAAGGACCUGCGGGGGUUGGUCACCACCACAUUUUUACCACGGUUGACCUCGGAUCAAGUAGGAGUUACCCGCUGAACUUAAGCAUAUCAAUAAGCGGAGGAA